GGGGAAUAUUGCACAAUGGGCGGAAGCCUGAUGCAGCGACGCCGCGUGGGGGAUGACGGCCUUCGGGUUGUAAACCUCUUUCAGCACCGACGCAGCGAGAGUGACGGUAGGUGCAGAAGAAGCGCCGGCCAACUACGUGCCAGCAGCCGCGGUAAUACGUAGGGGGCAAGCGUUGUCCGGAGUUACUGGGCGUAAAGCGCCCGCAGGCGGUCGCGUCAGUUCGCGGUGACAGCUGUCGGCUUAACCGACAGAGGACCGAGAAGACGGCGUGACUUGAGGGCCAGAGAGGGACAUGGAACUCCGGGUGGAGUGGUGAAAUGCGUAGAGAUCCGGAAGAACACCAAAGGCGAAGGCAGUGUCCUGGCUGGCACCUGACGCUCGGGGGCGAAAGCGAGGGGAGCGAAC
rnacentral:rRNA from 1 species